rnacentral:rRNA from 1 species
GACGAACGCUGGCGGCGUGCUUAACACAUGCAAGUCGAACGGUAAGGCCCUUUCGGGGGUACCCGAGUGGCGAACGGGGGAGUAACACGUGGGUGAUCUGCCCUGCACUUUGGGAUAAGCGUGGGAAACUGGGUCUAAUAACGGAUAGGACUACGCGAUGCAUGUCGUGUGGUGGAAAGCUUUUGCGGUGUGGGAUGGGCCCGCGGCUUAUCAGCUUGUUGGUGGGGUGAUGGCCUACCAAGGCGACGACGGGUAGCCGGCCUGAGAGGGUGUCCGGCCACACUGGGACUGAGAUACGGCCCAGACUCCUACGGGAGGCAGCAGUGGGGAAUAUUGCACAAUGGGCGCAAGCCUGAUGCAGCGACGCCGCGUGGGGGAUGACGGCCUUCGGGUUGUAAACCCCUUUCAGCACAGACGAAGCGUAAGUGACGGUAUGUGCAGAAGAAGCACCGGCCAACUACGUG